CUGUUCUCUAUUUGCACCCAACAAUUUGUUCAAACCUCUCACACAUUCUCCUUCACCACCAAACCUCACCCAACUUCACCUCACUGCAGACCACCGCCACUGACGCAGAUCGCCAUGGCCACAGAUCGCCACUGUCGUCGAUGAUCUUCCUCCGUCCUUCGCUGGUGCCUCUCUCUCUCUCUCUCUCUCUCUCUCUCUUUCUCUCUCUCUCUCUCUCUCUCUCCUAAACACCCACCGCCAUCGAUGAUCCUCCUCCAUCUCCUCCGCUGGUGCCUCCGCCGGAUCCGAGAAGAUCGUCGAGAUCUGAAUUAGAUUUGAGUCCCAGGCCAAGAUCUGACCGUCGUGAGCGAUCCACACAUAUCUAUCGGCGGCAGUGAAGAUGGAGAGACCAUGCCUAACGGUUGAGAUCUGAAUCAGAUUCGAUUUCGCGAUCUAAAAAUCUCUUAAGCACUCAGAUGUCUGUGAUUUCUGCUCCAAUCAACACCUCUUUCUAAGAUCUGAGUCAGAUUCGAUGGCGGCGAAGAAUGCUGGGAUUCGCUGAUAAAACCACGAUUUCGACAAAGAAGAACAAGUGUUCAAUCAAUCAUCAGCGGGAAAAAAGGGGCUUCAUUGGAGUUGGGUUUAUCAGAUCAUCAUCAUCAUCAUUAUCAUCUUCAUCUUCUGCAUCUAAAAAGAGAGAAAAAUGAAGUAUGUGUUGGUGACAGGCGGCGUAGUUAGCGGUCUUGGGAAAGAUGUGACUGCCAGUAGCUUUGGUGUCAUUCUCAAGGCUUGUGGGCUUCAUGUUACUUCUAUUAAGAUUGUUCAGUUUAGUUUUUUUGAAAAAAAAAUUUGCUCUUUUACACUAUUGUUACUUUGAGUUAUGUACAGAACUUAGCUGGGUAAUUUGGGUUUUCUUCUUGUUUGUAAUGUCUUUGAAAGAAGCCUAUUUUUGUUUCAACCACCCUUGUGAAAUGUUCACAAUGUUCUGUCUUUUUACUAGUGCUUCCAUUUUUGUUUAAUUACAGAACCCAAUUUGAGAAAACAACGAGUAGUUAUUGCUUACUCACAAUUUGCUCUUUCAUUCAGAUCCUUACUUGAACACUGAUGCGGGAACAAUGUCCCCUUUUGAGAAUAGGCAAGUGUUUGUUCUAGAUGAUGGUGGAGAGUAGUAGAGGAGAGGAGAAGCAAAAAUAGAUCCAUGGAUUGAAUGUCUACUCUUCAUCUCCGGCUUGUAGCGGUCCCCUAACAGCACAAUGAUUUAAUCAUUUUAAUGAUCUUUUUUUCUUCCUAAUUAGUUCUUGAAAUUUUGGAACUUUUCCAUUUAAUUGUUUUUGUUGUUUGGCUUUUCUCAUAACAGAUCCAUAUGCUGAGGUGAUUGCACUAUCUCCCAAGACCCUAAUGGCAACAAACCAGUUCAUUUGUGAGGUAUGCAACAAAGGUUUCCAAAGGGACUGCGGUACUCUCUUUUCAAGAUGAACUCGUGCGCGAAGCUGAAUUGUACAGGGCUAGUUGGCACUUGUUACAUUUUUUGAAGGAUUAUAUAUUUUUGGAUAGAUGUAUAUGAAAAAUAUUUGAGUAGACUACUAGUUAUAUUUUUGGAUAGAUGCGUAUGGAUAAAAAUUUAAAACAUAAUAACAACUACUUGUUAUGUUUUAAAUUUUUAUACUAUAUGUGAAUUGGAUAAUUAUAUAGAUUACAUGACAUAUUAAUUGAACGAUUAUGUAGUUGGGAAUUACUUGUGAAUGAAAACUUAUAAUAGUUGAUUUUAAUUAAACACGUUAAUUUUUGGCUGAUU